rnacentral:rRNA from 1 species
GUGAGGAAUAUUGGGCAAUGGGGGCAACCCUGACCCAGCGACGCCGCGUGAGGGAAGACGGCCUUCGGGUUGUAAACCUCUUUUGUACGGGAAGAAGGAAGUGACGGUACUGUACGAAUAAGUCCCGGCUAACUACGUGCCAGCAGCCGCGGUAAUACGUAGGGGACGAGCGUUGUCCGGAAUUACUGGGCGUAAAGGGCGCGCAGGCUGUGCUGCAAGUCAGCUGUGAAAUGUCUGGGCUUAACCCGGGCAUGCGGUUGAGACUGCAGUGCUGGAGUGCUGUAGAGGCAAGUGGAAUUCCCAGUGUAGCGGUGAAAUGCGUAGAUAUUGGGAAGAACACCGGUGGCGAAGGCGACUUGCUGGGCAGCAACUGACGCUGAGGCGCGAAAGCCAGGGGAGCAAACGGGAUUAGAUACCUAGUAGUCC